GACGCUGGGCGGCGAGCCUCAUACAUGCAAGUCGGGCGGUUGUAGCAAUACAGCAGCGGCGGCCGGGUGAGUAACACGUGGGCAACCUGGCCUUAAGAGGGGGAUAACGUCUCGAAAGGGACGCUAAUACCGCGUAACGCAAAGAGAUCGCAUGAUUUCAUUGCAAAAGGAGCAAUCCGCUUAAGGAUGGGCCCGCGGCCUAUUAGCUAGUUGGUAAGGGUAACGGCCUACCAAGGCGACGAUAGGUAGCCGACCUGAGAGGGUGAACGGCCACACUGGAACUGAGAAACGGUCCAGACUCCUACGGGAGGCAGCAGUAGGGAAUAUUCCGCAAUGGGCGAAAGCCUGACGGAGCAACGCCGCGUGAGUGAAGAAGAUCUUCGGAUUGUAAAGCUCUGUCAACAGGGACGAUGAUGACGGUACCUGAGAAGGAAGCCACGGCAAACUACGUGCCAGCAGCCGCGGUAAUACGUAGGUGGCAAGCGUUGUCCGGAAUAACUGGGCGUAAAGCGCAUGUAGACGGCAUAGCAAGCCAAGUGUGAAAUUUAGAGGCUUAACCUCUAAACUGCGCUUGGAACUGCUGAGCUUGAGUGCAGGAGAGGCAAGUGGAAUUCCCAGUGUAGCAGUGAAAUGCGU
rnacentral:rRNA from 1 species